rnacentral:rRNA from 1 species
GUGUGGUUGUUGCUGGCCCUCUCGGGGGCAUGUGCACACCCACCAUCCUCAUCUCUCCACCUGUGCACCNCUUGUAGACCUGGAUUGACUUUCCGAGGCAACUCGGUCGGGAAGAUUGCUGCGCUCUGUGAGCCAGCUUUCUUUGCAUGUCCAGGCCUAUGUUUUUCAUAUACCCCUAUAGAAUGUAACAGAAUGUAUCAUUGGGCCUUGUGCCUAUAAACCUUAUACAACUUUCAGCAACGGAUCUCUUGGCUCUCGCAUCGAUGAAGAACGCAGCGAAAUGCGAUAAGUAAUGUGAAUUGCAGAAUUCAGUGAAUCAUCGAAUCUUUGAACGCACCUUGCGCUCCUUGGUAUUCCGAGGAGCAUGCCUGUUUGAGUGUCAUUAAAUUCUCAACCUUAUUAACUUUUGUUGAUAAUGGAUUGGAUUGUGGGGGUUUCUUUUGCUGGCUUCUUCACAGAGAUCAGCUCCCCUUAAAUGCAUUAGCUGGUGCCCCGCGUGGACCAUCUAUUGGUGUGAUAAUUAUCUACGCCGUGGAUGUCUGCAAUCAUAUGGGUUUCGCACUGCUUCUAACCGUCUGUUCAUUCGGACAAUACAUGACAAUUUGACCUCAAAUCAGGUAGGACUACCCGCUGAACUUAAGCAUAUCAAUAAGCGGAGGAAAAGAAACUAACAAGGAUUCCCCUAGUAACUGCGAGUGAAGCGGGAAAGCUCAAAUUUAAAAUCUGGCGGUCUCCGGCCGUCCGAGUUGUAAUCUAGAGAAGUGUUAUCCGCGCUGGACCGUGUAC